UGCAUUAGCUUGUUGGUGGGGUAACGGCCUACCAAGGCGAUGAUGCAUAGCCGAGUUGAGAGACUGAUCGGCCACAAUGGGACUGAGACACGGCCCAUACUCCUACGGGAGGCAGCAGUAGGGAAUCUUCCACAAUGGGCGCAAGCCUGAUGGAGCAACACCGCGUGAGUGAAGAAGGGUUUCGGCUCGUAAAGCUCUGUUGUUAAAGAAGAACACGUAUGAGAGUAACUGUUCAUACGUUGACGGUAUUUAACCAGAAAGUCACGGCUAACUACGUGCCAGCAGCCGCGGUAAUACGUAGGUGGCAAGCGUUAUCCGGAUUUAUUGGGCGUAAAGAGAGUGCAGGCGGUUUUCUAAGUCUGAUGUGAAAGCCUUCGGCUUAACCGGAGAAGUGCAUCGGAAACUGGAUAACUUGAGUGCAGAAGAGGGUAGUGGAACUCCAUGUGUAGCGGUGGAAUGCGUAGAUAUAUGGAAGAACACCAGUGGCGAAGGCGGCUACCUGGUCUGCAACUGACGCUGAGACUCGAAAGCAUGGGUAGCGAACAGGAUUAGAUACCCUGGUAGUCCAUGCCGUAAACGAUGAGUGCUAGGUGUUGGAGGGUUUCCGCCCUUCAGUGCCGGAGCUAACGCAUUAAGCACUCCGCCUGGGGAGUACGACCGCAAGGUUGAAACUCAAAGGAAUUGACGGGGGCCCGCACAAGCGGUGGAGCAUGUGGUUUAAU
rnacentral:rRNA from 1 species